UACGUAGGGUGCAAGCGUUGUCCGGAAUUACUGGGCGUAAAGAGCUCGUAGGCGGUUUGUCGCGUCGUCUGUGAAAACUCGAGGCUCAACCUCGAGCUUGCAGGCGAUACGGGCAGACUUGAGUACUGCAGGGGAGACUGGAAUUCCUGGUGUAGCGGUGAAAUGCGCAGAUAUCAGGUGGAACACCGGUGGCGAAGGCGGCUAUCUGGACGGUUUCUGACGCUAAGACGCGAAAGCGUGGGGAGCAAACAGG
rnacentral:rRNA from 1 species